GGAUAUAGCUCAGUGGCACAGCACCUGCCUGGCAAGCAUGAGGUCCUGAGUUCAAUCCCCGGUACCA
rnacentral:tRNA from 1 species